AAUUUGAUUUGUUGGAACACACUUCGAAGCUUGGGAUCUGAAAUAUCUGAUUCUGACUGUAUACUGUAGUCAAAGAUGGGCAGUGAAAGUGAUAAAGGUAGAGAAGCAAUUGUUGAAGAAGAAGAAGAAGAGAUAGUCUGCUUGGAGUCUUUCUUCAUCAACGAUGAUUAUCAGUUGACGAAGUUUACGUUUGGUUCUCAUGUUCUUGAGCUCUACUGUCUCCAAUCAGCUUCAAGU
rnacentral:misc_RNA from 1 species